rnacentral:rRNA from 1 species
CUUGACCUCGGAUCAGGUAGGGAUACCCGCUGAACUUAAGCAUAUCAAUAAGCGGAGGAAAAGAAACCAACAGGGAUUGCCCUAGUAACGGCGAGUGAAGCGGCAACAGCUCAAAUUUGAAAUCUGGCGUC